rnacentral:rRNA from 1 species
AUUGAACGCUGGCGGCAGGCCUAAUACAUGCAAGUCGAGCGAGCGGCGGACGGGGGAGGAAUGUCUGGGAAAACGCCUGUAGGAGGGGGAUAACUACGGGAAACGGCAGGUAAAAACGCAUAAAAUCCGAUUUGGCCUGAUGGGAUUAGCUAGACGGUGGGGUAAUGGCUCACCUAGGCGACGAUCCCUAGCUGGUCUGAGAGGAUGACCAGCCACACUGGAACUGAGACACGGUCCAGACUCCUACGGGAGGCAGCAGUGGGGAAUAUUGCACAAUGGGCGCAAGCCUGAUGCAGCCAUGCCGCGUGUGUGAAGAAGGCCUUCGGGUUGUAAAGCACUUUCAGCGGGGAGGCGUUACCCGCAGAAGAAGCACCGGCUAACUCCGUGCCAGCAGCCGCGGUAAUAC